UUGGCCAAGAUUGUUUUUUGUCCUUGCACAUACUUUCAGGGUUGUUGCAAGUUCUGAAGACUGAGCCUGGCUGUUGGUGGCUCUUCAUCAUGGUAUCUUGGUUCCUUCCAUGCUGGACACUGCACGUAAAAUAUGGCAAUGUGCCUACAGUGAUUGGUAGGGCCAACCUCAGCCAUGAUGUGAUCACCAACAGAGAAAGACCUCCUGGUUCCUUUGAUAUAGUGCACUUGAAGGAUGCAAAUGGCAACAGCUUUGCCAUGAAGAUUUACAACAUUUUGGUCAGUGGCAAAUUUGUGUCUUCCGACGAAGGUUGAGGAUUGUGGGAGUGAAUGAACAAAUGCAUGUGAAAGCCCUGUAAAACCAUGCGUACAAGGAGUACGCAGUUCUCCACUUCAAAAUUGGUAAUCAAGCUUGGAUUUCCCUGCCCAGGAGAAAGGGCAUCCCAGGAUAACAUUGCUGAAGAAAGACCACGAGGCUGACCGCUAAACAGAACAGUGGCUAACUGCAGUAGGGUAGACCUUCUUU